UUGGCUGGUUCCCACGCAGGCGCGAUUUAUGCAAAAGAAGCCCAUUUUUCCACGCUGAUUUGCUUUUGUCCAACACAUCUGCGGAGUGUGUACGGUGGACAGGCCCUCGGGAGGUGAUCUUGUGAACACUUGCUGAGGAUCCUUGAUGCCGAGUGCAGGAUGUUUCCUACCAGUUUGAAGCCAUGUCUGAAGGGUUCCGAGGUGGAAUGUUCUGCGCUGGCCGAUGGCGGCGUCGGGGGGGGGGGGCACUGCACCGCAUGCCCAUGGUGACGAGGAAACAGCUGACGCAGGCAACAACGGCAUAGACCAACAUCUGAAGGAUGACAGUGGAAAAAGUUUGGACACCCCUGCCAUAUGGUCUCCACAUCAAAGGUCCAUUUCCCUACGAAGACCAUGCAUCCUGCCCAUCAACCAAUGGCCUCAGCAGCCAAGUUUGAUCACUCUAUGGAGGCUGUACACCCCUCCCAUCCCCACACCGCUGGCCCAUCACCAAAUGUCCACACCUAUGGUCCUUCACCCGGCGUACACAAUAGCUUGCUACCUGAAUCCACCUGAGAAUAAAAAGGCAGCUUUCCUGGCACCAGACAGGAGAGAUGCAGGCAACCCAUCUAUUGAGGACACUAUCUGUUAUCAACCACAGGCAGAAAAAUCAUGGACGCCAUGUGAUGGAAAAAAUGUGGGCAGAAAAAGAAGGAAUUGAAGAAGUCCUCUUGAAAAUAGAUCCGGUCCAAGUCAGAGUACUUCAAACUCUCUGCGACUUAGUUGGAGACAAAUACAGCGACGGCCCUCCUCAACAAUCGGGCCAGCAAGAGCUCUUUCCUGAGAGCGGCGUAUUCAUAUCAUUGUUCCGCCUUGCUGCCAUGAGACAUGCUGCAGAGCCCAAAUGUAGGCCUUUAUUUGGACCUCUUUUUUCUACGUGUCAAAAUGCUGUCCCUUUUUGACGCCCUGGAAACAAACCUGCAGGAACACCAAAGCGCAUCCUUAAGCGGAAAAAAGUGGAAGGAAUCCUUAGUAAGUUUUCCCAAACAGAGGGUGUUUUCAGGCCAAAAUUGGGUCACAAUAAUGAAAUAGAAGUUCAAUAUGAGAAAUGUUGAUCCCUUUUCGAUUACAGCAGACUGGAAGCAUAACUGAAUGUUACAUCAUUACAAUUUGUUAUCCACUCCAAACUAGCGUUAUGAUGAGCAAUAUAGUCUGAUGUCCAUCAACUUGAAGUGUGGUUGUGUGUAUUAAUGGUUUUGCGUAAAUGAAGGCUUUAAAGGGCAAUAAAAAAGCAUUAAAUGAGGCAUUUAAAAAAGGGAAUAUGAUUGUAGGACAUGGCGGACAGUCAAUAUGUCAAACGGUAAAGGAAAAUGAACUUAAGAAGGUUACAGUCGUUUCUUUUUUGAACUGCAUACAAGAGGUAUUGUAAGGUGGGAACACGACAAAAGCACUGCUUCAAUCAAGCAAAAUGAAACAUCAACUUUUCCAUUCUUUGGUCACUGUAGGCGUGUAGUCCUUAACUGUGACACCAUGUCAGGAUAAUGGAGAAGCUGAGCCGACACGGAGUCGUUUAUUUCAAU